AUCCGCAAUACCAUAAUUUCAUUAAAUAACAUCAUAACAAAUAUUUAUACACAAGCAAAAGGCUAAAAUUAUACAAAUAUCCAUAACAAGGUGGAAGCCAACACAAUGCAUAUUGUGUCAUGCUCCAUCAGUAAUUUUAGUUUAUGAAUAUCAAUGCAUAAUAGAACCUAUAUUUGUUUCUAUUACACUUCUAACAUGGCCUCUGCCCGAAUCCACAAUUUACAGGGUGUGAUAUUCAAAUUU
rnacentral:lncRNA from 1 species